rnacentral:misc_RNA from 1 species
AAGACUAUAGACCUGCGGAGUACCUGCGGAAGGAUCAUUAUCGUAUUGUAACAAUUGGGGGGGCCACCGUGGGCUGUCGUUGACCCUUUGAAAGGGGGGUCGUGCACGCCCCCAUAGUGUCAUCCUCAUACAAUCCAACUCACCUCUGUGCAUCACCGCGUGGGUUCCUUUCUGGGUCGAGUCAGACUGGCUCAGAAAAAAGGGGCUUGCGUUUUCCAUACAAAUACCCUUAUAAAUCCA